rnacentral:rRNA from 1 species
GACGUAGGGCGCGAGCGUUGUCCGGAUUUAUUGGGCGUAAAGAGCUCGUAGGUGGUUUGUCGCGUUGUUCGUGAAAACUCACAGCUCAACUGUGGGCGUGCGGGCGAUACGGGCAGACUAGAGUACUGCAGGGGAGACUGGAAUUCCUGGUGUAGCGGUGGAAUGCGCAGAUAUCAGGAGGAACACCGGUGGCGAAGGCGGGUCUCUGGGCAGUAACUGACGCUGAGGAGCGGAAGCGUGGGGAGCGAACAGG